rnacentral:tRNA from 1 species
GGGCGAGUGGCGAAAUUGGUAGACGCGCAUGCCUUAGGAGCAUGUGAGGAGACUCAUGGAGGUUCAAGUCCUCUCUCGCCCA